rnacentral:tRNA from 2 species
AAAAUUUUAGUUUAAUUUAAAAUAAUUCAUUUACAUUGAAAAGAUUAAUAUUUAAUUUUUA